GCGGAAGUGGCUCAGUGGUAGAGCAUCUCCUUGCCAAGGAGAGGGUCACGGGUUCGAAUCCCGUCUUCCGCUCCA
rnacentral:tRNA from 3 species